rnacentral:rRNA from 1 species
UACGUAGGGUGCAAGCGUUGUCCGGAUUUAUUGGGUUUAAAGGGUGCGUAGGCGGCUCGUUAAGUCAGUGGUGAAAUACAACAGCUCAACUGUUGAUGUGCCAAUGAUACUGACAGGCUUGAGUACAGAUGAGGUGGGCGGAAUGUGUCAUGUAGCGGUGAAAUGCAUAGAUAUGACACAGAACACCAAUUGCGAAGGCAGCUCACUAAGCUGUAACUGACGCUGAGGCACGAAAGCGUGGGGAUCAAACAGG